rnacentral:rRNA from 1 species
UACAGAGAGGGCAAGCGUUAUUCGGAAUUAUUGGGCGUAAAGGGCGCGUAGGCGGCUUGGCAAGUGGAAGGUGAAAUCCCUCGGCUUAACCGAGGAACUGCCCUCCAAACUGCUUCGCUUGAGACCGGGAGAGGUGAGUGGAAUUCCCAGUGUAGCGGUGAAAUGCGUAGAUAUUGGGAGGAACACCAGUGGCGAAGGCGGCUCACUGGACCGGUACUGACGCUGAUGCGCGAAAGCGUGGGGAGCAAACGGG